rnacentral:rRNA from 1 species
UACGGAGGAUGCAAGCGUUAUCCGGAAUCAUUGGGCGUAAAGCGUCCGCAGGUGGUAAUGUAAGUUCUUAGUUAAAGACAGAAGCUCAACUUCUGAAAGGCUAAGAAAACUGCAUAACUAGAGGCAGGUAGGGGUAGCAGGAAUUCCCAGUGUAGCGGUGAAAUGCGUAGAGAUUGGGAAGAACAUCGGUGGCGAAAGCGUGCUACUGGGCUGAGCCUGACACUGAGGGACGACAGCUAGGGGAGCGAAAGGG